rnacentral:lncRNA from 1 species
UUUAAUUUAAUCCAGAAUAAUAAAUACAUUCUAGUUUCUUAUUUGGUUUCAGGGAUUGGAGCGGAUGAGAUGAUGUUGUUUUCAAACUAUUAGGCAAUGUCACCCAUGGGGCCUAUCAUCCAACGGACCCACUUGUCAGCCUCCCACCUAGCUCUUCUUCCUCUGUGGUUUUUUGCUGCAGUCAUAUUUCUUUCCAGUUGCCACAGCGACACAUCACAGCCAAAGCUCAAGGGACAUUGUCACUGCACCUCCCCGCCCAACCACUUCCUCACCCAAGAUGCAUGCUCCCAAUGCUAUGCCUCCCCGACCGCACUUCUUUGCCCAUGUCUCCUAGAUCGCGAGUUCCUGCCACGAGCACUACUAUGGUUGAGACCUUGGAGAUCGAGCAACAGCGUUCGGAGAAUUUGAGCAUGGAUUGCUCUUGAGUGAUGCAAUCAGAUCCCUUGACACCAUGAACCCAUAUGUGGGCUUGUGGAGAUAGAUAGUGGAAAAAAAGAGGAAGAAUCGCCUCCAUUAUUGCAACACCGGAAGGUCGAGGGAUUUGGCAAGGAUAAAAAAUGGAAUGGACUGUGCUAGAUCUCGCCUGUGCUGACCUAAUCCUGCACUGGAUUUAGUGUGGACUCUUGUGCGCCAGCGCCAGUUCGGCCGCAUGGAGGUUGCCCUCAAUCUCUCCCCAAGUUUCUCCAUGUCCCCAC